rnacentral:rRNA from 1 species
AUACGGAGGGUGCAAGCGUUGUUCGGAAUCACUGGGCGUAAAGGGCGCGCAGGCGGUUUGGUAAGUCAGAUGUGAAAGCCCACGGCUCAACCGUGGAAGUGCAUUUGAAACUGUCAGACUUGAGUACUAGAGGGGAAAGUGGAAUUCCCGGUGUAGAGGUGAAAUUCGUAGAUAUCGGGAGGAAUACCGGUGGCGAAGGCGACUUUCUGGCUAGAUACUGACGCUGAGGUGCGAAAGCGUGGGUAGCAAACAGGAUUAGAAACCCCAGUAGUCC